UGGGGAAUAUUGGGCAAUGGGCGAAAGCCUGACCCAGCAACGCCGCGUGAAGGAAGAAGGUCUUCGGAUCGUAAACUUCUAUCCCCGGGGAAGAUAAUGACGGUAACCGGGAAGGAAGCCCCGGCUAACUACGUGCCAGCAGCCGCGGUAAUACGUAGGGGGCAAGCGUUGUCCGGAAUGAUUGGGCGUAAAGGGCGCGUAGGCGGCUCGGUAAGUCUGGAGUGAAAUUCCUGCUUUCAAGGUGGGAACUGCUUUGGAUACUGUCGGGCUUGAGUGCAGGAGAGGUAAGUGGAAUUCCCGGUGUAGCGGUGAAAUGCGUAGAGAUCGGGAGGAACACCAGUGGCGAAGGCGACUUACUGGACUGUAACUGACGCUGAGGCGCGAAAGUGUGGGGAGCAAACAGG
rnacentral:rRNA from 2 species